UACGGAGGAUGCAAGCGUUAUCCGGAAUGAUUGGGCGUAAAGGGUCCGCAGGUGGCAGUGUAAGUCUGCUGUCAAAGAAUGAGGCUUAACCUCAUCAAGGCAGUGGAAACUACACAGCUAGAGUACGGUCGGGGUAGAAGGAAUUCCUGGUGUAGCGGUGAAAUGCGUAGAGAUCAGGAAGAACACCGGUGGCGAAAGCGUUCUGCUAGACCUGUACUGACACUGAGGCGCGAAAGCUAGGGGAGCAAACGGG
rnacentral:rRNA from 1 species